rnacentral:misc_RNA from 1 species
UCUCGGCUUAUCACCGGCAGUCCCCCUAGAGUGCCCAACUGAAUGAUGGCAACUAAGGGCGAGGGUUGCGCUCGUUGCGGGACUUAACCCAACAUCUCACGACACGAGCUGACGACAGCCAUGCAGCACCUGUGUGCAGGUCCCCUUUCGGGCACCGCUGCAUUUCUGCAGCGUUCCUGGCAUGUCAAGGGUAGGUAAGGUUUUUCGCGUUGCAUCGAAUUAAACCACAUCAUCCACCGCUUGUGGUUCAAUUCGAAGCAACGCGCAGAACCUUACCAGCCCUUGACAUGGCAGGACGGCUUCCAGAGAUGGAUUCCUU